UAUUCGAGACGAUAUCAAAUAUAACAACAUGUUUUUACACAAUAAAAAAUAAAUAUGAAACAUAAAUGGUUGAAAUAUUCAGCAUAAUUUUGAUAUUAUUGAGGAUAUCAAAAUUUUCGGCAUCUUUCCAGAAUUAAAUUACAGGUUUUGGCACAUAGUAAACAAAUAUCUUGAUUCGAAAAUAAUAAAAUCCAUAUAUUUGAAAGAGACGAACCCUAACUUGAGUCAUUCUUAGUAAGCUUAGUCUCUUUCAAGAAAGCCUUCAUUAAAACCAAUAGUGUUGAACUACUGUAUCUACAGAGAGCUGUAUUGCUUGAAUAUUUCUACAUAAGAAAAUGAAAACAAAUGCAAUGCAAAAAUAAAAUAGAAAUGUG
rnacentral:lncRNA from 1 species